rnacentral:rRNA from 1 species
AUACGUAGGGGGCUAGCGUUAUCCGGAUUUACUGGGCGUAAAGGGUGCGUAGGUGGUUUCUUAGGUCAGGAGUGAAAGGCUACGGCUCAACCGUAGUAAGCUCUUGAAACUGGGAAACUUGAGUGCAGGAGAGGAAAGUGGAAUUCCUAGUGUAGCGGUGAAAUGCGUAGAUAUUAGGAGGAACACCAGUAGCGAAGGCGGCUUUCUGGACUGUAACUGACGCUGAGGCACGAAAGCGUGGGGAGC